CCUACGGGAGGCAGCAGUGAGGAAUAUUGGUCAAUGGACGCAAGUCUGAACCAGCCAAGCCGCGUGCAGGAAGACGGCGCGAUGAGUUGUAAACUGCUUUUGUACGAGGGUAAACGCAGAUACGCGUAUCUGUUUGAAUGUACCGUACGAAUAAGGAUCGGCUAACUCCGUGCCAGCAGCCGCGGUACUACGGAGGAUUCAAGCGUUAUCCGGAUUUAUUGGGUUUAAAGGGUGCGUAGGCGGUCGGUUAAGUUAGAGGUGAAAUCCCGUGGCUCAACUUCGGAAUUGCUUCUGAUACUGUUCGGCUAGAGCGUAGUUGCGGUAGGCGGAAUGUGUGGUGUAGCGGUGAAAUGCUUAGAUAUCAUGCAGAACACCGAUUGCGAAGGCAGCUUACCAAGCUACUUCUGACGUUGAGGCACGAAAGCGUGGGCAGCAAACAGGAUUAGAUACCCCUGUAGUC
rnacentral:rRNA from 1 species